rnacentral:rRNA from 1 species
UGGGUCCUACGGGGGGCAGCAGUGGGGAAUAUUGGAAAAUGGGGGGAACCCUGAUCUAGCGACGCCGCGUGAGUGAAGAAGUAUUUCGGUAUGUAAAGCUCUAUCAGCAGAGAAGAAAGAAAUGACGGUACCUGACUAAGAAGCCCCGGCUAACUACGUGCCAGCAGCCGCGGUAAUACGUAGGGGGCAAGCGUUAUCCGGAUUUACUGGGUGUAAAGGGAGCGUAGACGGCGAUGCAAGUCUGAAGUGAAAGGCGGGGGCCCAACCUCCGGACUGCUUUGGAAACUGUAUGGCUGGCGUGCAGG